GAGGAAUAUUGCCCAAUGGGGGAAACCCUGAGGCGGCAACGCCGCGUGAACGAAGACGGCCUUCGGGUUGUAAAGUUCUUUUCUGGGGACGAUGAUGACGGUACCCCAGGUAUAAGUUCCGGCUAACUACGUGCCAGCAGCCGCGGUAAAACGUAGGGGACAAGCGUUAUCCGGAUUUACUGGGCGUAAAGCGCACGUAGGCGGUGAGGUAAGUUGGCCGUGAAAGCUCCCGGCUUAACUGGGAGAGGUCGGACAAAACUGCCCCACUUGAGGCUGAGAGAGGAGAGCGGAAUUCCCGGUGUAGUGGUGGAAUGCGUAGAUAUCGGGAGGAACACCAGUGGCGAAGGCGGCUCUCUGGCUCAGAACUGACGCUGAGGUGCGAAAGCGUGGGGAGCGAACGG
rnacentral:rRNA from 1 species